AUGCUGAAGUCAGGAGCUCUGGUUCUCUUCCUGGCAGUUGCUGCCAGCCAGUUUCACCAGUACCAGUGUGUGAGGAUUAUUGGUACCGGAAGUGCGGACUUCAGUUCCUGUCCUAUCACGUACUUUGGAUUAUUGCAUCUUUUGUUCCAGAUACACUUUGAAGACCCUCUUUUCAAGGUGUGUGCAAAAGACGACAACCCAGACUGCCUGCUUCUGGUGGUUCCAGGAACCGACCGCGCUUCGGUGGAGGUUCUGGGUCAGGGGCCAGGUCUUGGAUCACUCAUCCAAAAAACUUUCCACAACAUCAAGUCUGCUUCACCCUGCACACUUAAAAUCAAACUGCAAGAUUCUGCAGGCAUGACUCAUCUGACAUUUUUAGUCUUCAACUUUGGCAAACAAUCAGUUCUGCAGUUCAAUCCAACCAGACUCUUCACCCUGUCUGACCUUAACGUCACGUUGGUAUUCCCUAGCAAUCCUGCAACAUCAACACUAUAUAAAUUAUCUGACUGGAAGAACGGAGUGCUCAUAGACUCAAGUGGCUGUAGGGACUCUGGUCUGGUUAUAGCAGCUGGUAAAUCAAAGCAUGUGAAAUCUUCCUGCUCAGAUGCCGUCUGCAGCCCGACUGCAGAUCUAACUGAGAACAGUUUAUGUAGACCUACUGAAUUCUGCGACGUCAACAUUGGGUGUGUUCCACACUUAUGAGGGAAAAGGAGAGACCAGGUGAUCAAUCCAGAUGGCAGAAACUUUUAUUUGGUCACAGAUUAUCGGGAAUUUUCAAAUGUGCGAAGGCUGAACUAACUUGACAUUAAUAGUUGUUUUGGUCAUGCUUUGAGGUGUUUUUCACAUUGAUAUAUUCUUUACUAAUGCAGGAUGGGUCAAAUCAAAUUGAGGUAAAAGUGUGAAUAUUUGUAGGAGGUUUGGAGCUCAAGGGAGAAAUGCUAAAAGAGUGAUGGUGCAAAAAUGAUUUUGAAUUGUGCUCAAAAGCUUUCUGAACCUUGUCACUGUAUUCUUGUAUUUCAGUGCAACAAUUUAAAAUAAAAAUGCUUUAAUGUAAUUGAGUAGAACUUUAUUUUGAAAUGACAAAUCUGUAGAGUCUUGAUUAGUUUUUUUUUCUAGAUGUACAAUUGGAAGCCUAAAUUGGGCAGCCAUAAUUUUCCUAUAUAAAUCCUUGGCGGUUACAAUUAUAUCAGAGAGACACACACUACUUCUCAUCAUCCAGCUGUCUACAAAAGGGAAAUCUACUAAAUAUUGAGUAAGACCACACUCGCACAGUAGUUCAUAGUGAGGACCAGCCAUUGACUGCCAUUCAUUUUCAUGACUGUAUUAUACCCACAGUGUUUGUGUGCCUUUCACAUUUUUCAUAUCAGCAAAAAGAAAAUCAAAACAGAUCCAGGCUGUUUAGCCACUAUCUUUGAUGUGUUAAAAUGAUUAACUGUUAUGAAAGUUUAAGCAACAAAGCAAACAACCAGCAGAAAUCUGUAAAGUAGAAAAUAUUAUUUUCACAAUACUGGACGUAAUACUGUUGCUGUGGAAACGAUUCAUCAGAACAGGUUCAGAUGAAACUACAGCUUAGGAACAAGAGCAGGAAUGUUCAGACUGGCUCCUAGAGAUGGCGGAGUUACACGCUCCUGCAGCAAAGAGAGGAGCUGGAAGAAGAAUACAUUGCCUAAUAAUGCUGAUUUCAUUAUGAUUUCAAUGUAAACUACAAAUUCUGUAACUGUUGUUGAUGUCCUAGUUAUCAGCUCACUUGAUCCAGGGCUGGCUUUGCCGACAGGCGACACAGGCCUGGGGCGCCAUCUGAUGGAUAGGGUGCAAAAUAAAAAUAAUAGUUUAUUAAAUUUAUGUUUGUAAUAUGAAAUGCACUCUACAUACUCAAAAUUCCCCUCUGAAAUGACAUGAAAUUAAAACCUCAAUAUUUAAAUUCUAAUGAUCUGGCUGCAUGACGAGCCACCGCUCCGAAGCAUUUGACCGUUAAGGUUGCCGUCGAUCACGUGCGUGGGCGGCACUGUAGGACAUCCUGUUGUCGUCGCGUUUAAACUUUUGAUAUCUUUUACGAUGAAAAGAACACCUAAGCCAUCGGGAUCAGCAUUCCCAAAGCGAAGGAAGGAGGAAGAAAAACGGGCCCAAAGCAGAGGUAUGUAGACUUUAUACAUUUGGCAAAGGAACUUUUUGAGUUACAAUUUUAGCUAACUGCCUCUCCUGCCACUCACGGUCCACGGACGGACCCUCGCUAGCUGUUUACACACACAAUACAGUAUCUCAUAACUUUAACCAAUUAAUUUUACUUUUGAAUCAUCGUGUCCAGAUGCAGUGAGACAAUGUUGAGUCUCACUGUGAUGAUGAAGAAUGUAAGAUUUUUUAACAGUUUUUUCGAGUAUGAUUGCAGCCUUUUUAUGAACUUAGUUUCAAGUUUUAGGUACGCAUACAAUAUGAAUUUAAUAUUUUCAUAUCAGAAGAACGUUAGAUGUGCGUGUAGCAAAAUUUCAACUUUGUCCGACACAUCGGGCGGGGACUCCCCCGCUGCCGCCGGCAACGCGUCGUUGUUUCCUUGUUUAAUAAAUGAAAUCCUCAGACUGCCUCAGAUCACUGGUUCUUCUUCCUCAUAUUCUACAAUUUAUUUGAUGCUGAAGAGCACCUGAGAGUGAGACGUACGUUUUUUCAAAUAUUCCCCAUUGAUGCACUCACUUCCACCUGUUUUUGAUCAUUUUAUUCAUGUUUUCAUAGAACAGAUUAAAAAAAAUCAAUAAAAUAAAAAGUCCAGUAGUGUGUGUGUGUGUGUGUGUGUGUGUGCGCGUUUUCUCACAGAAGAAGAACCCAACACCAGUAGACUCAUUGCUCCAAUCCAGCAGCCAGAAGAGACACCGUCGUCAGCUUCAACAGAUGUGUGUGAACAUGUAUGAGCUGCUGGCCCCAUGGAUCCUGCUGACUGGCCACAGCAGUUGAACGAAAUGGAAAGUAGAACUUUCUUUAUGAUGACACUGAUGUUUGAGUUUUCCUUUUGAUUGCACAGUUUAAUUCUGCUUUUGAUUUUGCAUCCCACCCCCCUUAAUGACAUUUGCACAACAUUUUGAGUUGAUCACCCAUUCAUUACAGGUUGCCACCUAUUGUUGCAGCCUUCUUUUGUUACAGGUUGUUACGUAUUUUACAGACUUUUAGGAGUCACUAAUUAUUUUGUGAUCUUUUCUUUGUGUGUUAGUUUGAUUUUUACAACUACAAACAUAUUUACCUUAAUCGUAGUAUUAUUGUUUUAUUACACUGUCAAUUAUAGGGGAUGAACUUAGCGUUUACAGGGAGGAAUGUUAAGUAAAAACUGAUAUUAUUGAAUUGAUAUAAAUGACUUGACUGCUAAACAUCUGGUGCCGUAUUAACAAUGUUUAAACGCAGCUUCAUCCUGUUGACAGUCACUACCAGCCUCCACCAUAUACUGAAUAUUGACCUCAAUUCUAUAUCCAGGAGAGCCAUGCCACCAAUUGUUAUACUUGGGAUUUUAUCCCUUGUUUUACAAUUCCUUAUAGGGAUCCGGACGUGGAUACUGGGUUCAAAUUACAGGAGAGCAACUUGGUUCUCCUUAAAGGUUGUCAGACUUCCCUGAUGCCCUUAACUUACACACCCAGAAGGAGCACAAAAAAGAUCCAGUUUCUACCUAUAUUAUAUUACUUAUAUGGACUCGGCGUAGCGGGGAUUCCUUUGAGGAGAUGCAGAGCGGCAGGCAGACUGCUGAUUAUUCAUGAAUUCCAGCUGCGCUCUGCACACGGCCACAGUAACAUUUUCUAAGUUUCUAAGUGGCGUCACCAAAAAUAUAUAAUUAACACACAUUCAUUCGUGUCCGUUCAUUUUCUCUCUGGUAAAUUCUGUCUGUAUUUGAGCAUGACGUGUGGGUGCGCUCGCGCUGCCCCCGCUGCAGUGAGUCACUAGCGCAGCCGGGCAGUGUAGCGCACUCCUUUUUUUGCGGUCAAUAGAUCAAUUUGAUCUGCUAGUUAAAAAGUUAAUUGUGAGGUGAAAAAGGGGACAGACAGGAGUUUUUCUGGAGGACUGGGAGAUGCAGGAAGAUCAGAGACCGACAGGACAGGAAGAUAGGAAAAUGAAAACAAAGUUCUUUAUAAAAUGUAGAUUAAUCCCACUACACAUUUGUACCUGUAUAAAGCAAUAAUUUCAGCAUGUAGUAUUUAUAUAGUUGAUACAAUUCAGAUCUUCAAAGCUCCAUCCCAUGCCCAGGGACGUAUCCAAGCAUUUUGGGGGCCGAGGCAAAAUAGACCCCUGCCAGGUAUUUUAAGUUGAAGUGCUCUGUUGUUGACUAUUUGCAAUAACAUCCAAAAGUGAAGAAUUUAUAUUACUUGAUUGUUCAAGCUACCUCACAGAAGUGAUGUUAAAAAUUAAAGGUAAAAAAAAAAAAUCUGGAACCGUUUCUUCCUUCUUUUUUGUAAUCGAAUCGGGACUCUGCAUCAGCAGAUUCUCAAAAUCAAUUGACUCGGGACUCUAGGGCAAAAAAAAAAAAAAAACCUGAUCGGACAUCCCUAACUAGAACCAGAUUGCAUCAAGACCACUUCUUCAUACCUCAGCUGAUUCAGAGCUUAGUUUUUCCACAGACAGUACUUACAACAGAACAUCCGUGUCUGCUACAGAGGCCCAUCAAGGCGACACACAGACUGUUAGCCUUUAGAUGAUGGUACCAUCAGAUGAUACUAGAUUAAGACUAGAGGUGGGAAAAAUGAUCAAUUCUAAGAUGCAUUGCGAUUCAGCCGUGCAUGAUUCCACAUCGAUGCAGCAACGUAACAUAAUGAGAUUCUCUCCCUAUGUCUAUGUCGGGGGUCGGCAACCCGCGGCUCUGGAGCUGCCAUAGGCGUCAUUUUAACCGGGGACGCCGGGGACAUGUCCCCGGCAAAAUUUGUGAUUGGCAGCUGUGUCCCCCCCACUUUCAAAAAAUCCUGCUGAUGAGGAUUUUUGUUUUACCAGCUCAGAUCUUAUACCAGGGGUCGGCAACCUGUUCCCAUCAAAGAGCCAUUAUUACCCGUUUCCCACGUAAUGAAAACACUGGGAGCCACAGCAGCGCAGCGUUGUGGGCGGGGCCUACCCUCAGACAGCAGAGAGCUGCUCACAACAGGUGAUAGCAGCCGGUACCAUGGGCGUCGCACCCGUGGGGGAUGCAACACCCACACUUUUCCAGCUGUUUUGCUCACCUCCACACCAGUCUGGUUUCUUUACGUUGCACUCACUCUGUUUGCCUCAUCUCCUUCUUCACCUCCGCUUCUGACAGCCGAUGUCGGGUUCAAGGAGAGCUGGAGAGAGAGGGAUGGAAGAGCUCGACUGAAUUCAUAAUUUUACAUCUUGACAUUAGCUGUACAAAGUCUGAGUUUGAUCAAGUGAAGAACAACAAUCUGCAGA
ensembl:lncRNA